rnacentral:pre_miRNA from 1 species
CCCGAGGCCACAUGCUUCUUUAUAUCCCCAUACGGAUUACUUGACUAUGGAAUGUAAGGAAGUGUGUGAUCUCGUU